rnacentral:rRNA from 1 species
CCUACGGGAGGCUGCAGUGAGGAAUAUUGGUCAAUGGACGAGAGUCUGAACCAGCCAAGCAGCGUGCAGGAUGACUGCCCUAUGGGUUGUAAACUUCUUUUAUAUGGGAAUAAAAUGUUCCACGUGUGGGAUUUUGUAUGUACCAUAUGAAUAAGGAUCGGCUAACUCCGUGCCAGCAGCCGCGGUAAUACGGAGGAUCCGAGCGUUAUCCGGAUUUAUUGGGUUUAAAGGGAGCGUAGGUGGAUUGUUAAGUCAGUUGUGAAAGUCUGCGGCUCAACCGCAAAAUUGCAGUUGAAACUGGCAGGCUGGAGUAUAGUAGAGGUAGGCGGAAUGCGUGGUGUAGCGGUGAAAUGCUUAGAUAUCACGAAGAACUCCGAUUGCGAAGGCAGUUCACUGGACUGCAACUGACACUGAGGCUCGAAAGCGUGGGUAGCAAACAGGAUUAGAUACCCUAGUAGUC